rnacentral:misc_RNA from 1 species
CCUCUAUCUAAGUAUAUAGGUUGGCUAUUUUUGAUCGAUGAUGACAUACGGUAAGAGGUCAGAAUACUGUAAUCGGAAGAGGCAGGCCUGUGUAUAAUUGUUUUAUUAAUAUAUGAUUAAUAAUCUACUUCGCAUAUUUAUUGAGGUGGUUUGUACUAAAGAGGGUUACUUUAAUUCUACCUAAUUACUAGUGCAUUUAUGCACACACAGUUUUGAAGAAAGCAGAUUUUAACUUCAGCCUUACUUUCCAUACUGGAUUCAGCGAGGUGUACUUAUACCAAAAUGGCAUCUUACGGCAAGGGAGACUUUGGGUCGGAGAUGUAUGAUGCAUCUUACAUAAAUUCAGGCGGAAGAAGUAAUACAUCAGAUUUUAACAGACUUUCACAAGUCAUUGGAAGCAAUAUACAGAAAAUCAACACUAAAGUGAGUGAAGUUCAACGAAUGGUCGAUAAGUUGGGGACACGUGAAGAUGAUCAUGAUCUGCGUACGAAACUUGAUGAGGUCCAGCAUUUCACCAACCAGCUUGCAAAGGAAACCAAUUCACAUCUGAAGGAUAUGGCUUCACUUUCUUUAUCAGGACAAGAUACAAGGCAGGCUAGGAUGCAGAAGGAGAGACUGACAAAUGACUUCUCAACAGCCUUGAACCAGUUCCAACGGGUGCAACGGGAGGCUGCUCAACGACAGAGAGAAUGUGUGAAUAGGGUCAGGGCUUCCUCUGGCUUAGGCACUUCUGCUAACCCCUACGAGGACAAUGGUCACAAUGAAGACCUACUUGGAUUAGGUGGAUCUGGUACAACUACAUCACAGGUGAUGUUUCAAGAGGAUGACUUAGAAUCACUACAGGAAAGGGAAGCCCAGCUGAAGAAGCUUGAGUCUGAUAUUUUGGAUGUUAAUCACAUUUUUAAGGACCUUGCUCAUAUCGUCCAUGAACAAGGGGAGAUGAUAGAUAGCAUAGAGGCAAAUGUAGAGUCGGCAGAAAUCCAUGUUGAGGAAGCCAACGUUCAGCUGCACAAAGCUAGGGAUUAUCAGAAAAAAUCCAGAAAGAAGAUGUGUUGUAUUUUUAUUUUCUGUAUCGUUCUACUUGGUAUCAUAGCAUUAGUCCUUUACUUGACACUAAAACCAUAGAAAUAGCAGUCUGCUACCAAAUCGAUGUGGGUUUACAUUGUGUAUAGGUCUCCCUCUAAUUAAAGACCCUCCAAUUAGAGACCACCUCCAAUUAAGGACCACAUUUUUGUGACCCCCAUAUUAACAAAUGUGUUUGAUCUUUAUUUUAAUUAUAUCACCAUGUAAACCCUGGUCCCAAAAGUGGUCUUUAGUUCGAGGGAGACCUGUAGUCUCUUAUCAGAAAACUAAAAUUGUACAGUUAGAUAUUAAUGCAAUUGUAUAUCAUUUUACUUCUUUUUCUGUUGGAUUUUUUUAGGCAAAAACAAUGAAAUUAAUUUUUUUCUUUUUCAUUUCCAAUUUCUUCUAAGUACAAGGUCAAUAUCAAAGGUUAAUGCUAUGCUAAUGUAAGGUUAAUGAUUUUCCAAUAGAGUGCUUUCGAUUUGCGAUGACAUAGAACGUAAUUACAUCAUAUUAAUUUAAUUGCGCAUGUCUGAACAUCGUGCAUUAUUGUUCUCUCCUUAAAUCUUGAAUGGUUGUCGACCGAAUCAAAAUUCAGGCCAGAACAAGGACUGUACUGUAUUAAAUAUUGGUGCGUCAACCUUUUGCAUUUUUGACACAUCCGUGUACACUCGGCAAGAAAUCAAAAUGUAUUUAAAGUAGAACACCUGUUUCACGUUCCCGUUCUACGUUUUCAAUCAAAAGCGACUUAAUGUCAAAGUGCUGCUGCAUUGAUGAAUACUCCCCGGGGUACUGAGUAUGUGUUACUGGGUACGUGUUUGUUCCAAUCACUAGGGUAAUAAUGUGAAGUGCAUAGAGGCCUUGACAUAUGCUGUAUAAGACUAGAAAUGUUAUUUUAGGGAUACUCCUAUACAAAGCACCAUUGAUGUAAUCAGGUGUUUUCAUGAUUAAAUGAAGUAUUUUAUUGUAUUUAUUAUCAGUCAUCCAGUGAUUUUAAAAAGUAUACUGUAUAUUGUUAAUUAAUGUUGGUUGUAUUUUUCUGUUACCCUUAUAAGGUCACUGUCCAGGUUAACAGGAUAUUAAAAAAUUGCCAAAUUAUUAUGUAAUAAUAUAAUUAUUACCAUAAUAAUUAAUGUUUGGUACACAUUCACAUGCGGUUUUUAACAAAUUCUAUUAUAAUACACAGGUUGUGUAAAUGUAGGUCAUAUUCUGCUUUGUAAUAUGACUAAUUAGCGUAGGAUUCACACUAAUAAUUUAGAUAAAAUUUGUGGCACAAUGGUGAAGCUGCAGGCUUUAAUGGUAAAUCAGGGGUUCGAGUCUACUAUGAUCACUUGUGUGUGUCCUUGAGUAAUGCACUUUACCUAUAUCUAGCACUCUACCCAGGGGAUUAUUGAGUGAGUGGCAUAAUUGUAUGUCAGUUCAAGCUGAGUAUGUGUUCCAUUUUGAUUAAGUAAGUUGGUGCUUAAUCUAGCUAGGCCGGGCACACAUUGCAUUACCCAACUGUCGACAGACAAACUCAUUAUUGCUUUCUCUGUUAACGCUUCACAUCGCUGCCUGCUGAUUGUCUGUCUCUAGAAUCGCUUUGACUGACGUAUGCCUACAUGCUGUGUGCCUGGCUUAACUGUGCAUAAACAUUGAUCAACAUUUUACAAUAUUUCAUAAUUGUAAUAUAUUACAAUUUCACAAUAUCAACAUUUUAGAAGAUAAAGUGAGGCAUAUAAGCAGUAUGGAACUUCUGUAUGUAAUUCAAUGUUUUUAAAUAUAAGAAAUUAAUUAAAAAUGAUUGAAAAUAUAAAAAAAACAGGUCUCUCUAUUUUAAAACCCUCCAAUUAAAGACUACUUUUCUGUGGUCGCAAAAUAACAAAAUGUCUUUUAUUAUUCUAAUUAGAGACCAAACUUGCUAAAGACCAAUGAAACACCAGUCCUAAAAGUGGUCUUUAAUUGGAGGUAGACCUGUACUAGUUUAGCUGAUACAUAUUGAAUCUGAUAUUUUUUAUAAAGAUUAUUAUAUAAAUAAUAAUAAUUAAUAUAUUACAAGGGAA